AAUUCUGCCAAACCAACUUUGGGUCGAGUGCGUCAAACCAACGAAACCGGAGGAGGAAGAGGAGGGGACACGGGGCCACCAAAGGCCACCAGGGGCCACCAGGGGCCACCAGGGGCCACCAAAGGCCAUCAGGGGCCACCAAGGGGCCACCAAGGGCCACCACGGGGCACCAGGGGCCACCAAGGGGCCACCAGGGGCCACCAAAGGUCACCACGUGGCCACCAAAGGCCACCAGGGGCCACCACAGGGACAGCCAAGGGAUGGUCACCAUCAGGACGGGCAGGGCCACCACCAAGAUGGUCAGGGCCACCACAAAUAGGGUCAGGAGGUGGCCAGGGCCACCAAGGCCACCAUGGGAAGGACCAGGGCCACCAUCAGGAUGAGCAGGGCCACCAUCAGGAAUGGUCAGGGCCACCAAGGCCACCACCAGGAUGAGCAGGGCCACCACCAGAAUGGGCAGGGCCACCAAGGGCACCACUAGGAUGGGAAGGGCCAC
rnacentral:lncRNA from 1 species